GACGAACGCUGGCGGCGUGCUUAACACAUGUAAGUCGAACGGAAAGGCCCUGCUUUUGUGGGGUGCUCGAGUGGCGAACGGGUGAGUAACACGUGAGUAACCUGCCCUUGACUUUGGGAUAACUUCAGGAAACUGGGGCUAAUACCGGAUAGGAGCUCCUGCUGCAUGGUGGGGGUUGGAAAGUUUCGGCGGUUGGGGAUGGACUCGCGGCUUAUCAGCUUUGUGGUGGGGUAGUGGCUUACCACGGCUUUGACGGGUAGCCGGCCUGAAAGGGUGACCGGCCACAUUGGGACUGAGAUACGGCACAGACUCCUACGGGAGGCAGCAGUGGGGAAUAUUGAACAAGGGGCGGAAGCCUGAGGCAGCAAAGCCGCGUGCGGGAUGACGGCCUUCGGGGUGUAAACCGCUGUCGCCUGUGACGAAGCGUGAGUGACGGUAAUGGGUAAAGAAGCACCGGCUAACUACGUG
rnacentral:rRNA from 1 species